AUGGGGGAGGGGAACGGGACGGCGUGGGCGGGGGCGCUGUCGCCGGCGGCGCGGUACGCUGAGACGGGAGGGGCGAGCUUGACAUGGGAGAACCUGACGGCCGUGCUGCCCGGGUCCGGCGGCCGGCCGACCAAGAAGCUCUUGCAAGGGCUGUACGGCUACGCCGUGCCCGGCAGGAUCGUCGCCAUCAUGGGGCCCUCCGGCUCCGGCAAGUCCACCCUCCUCGACUCCCUCUCUGGGAGGCUGGCGAGGAAUGUGCUCCAGACCGGCAAGGUGCUGCUCAACGGCAAGAAGAGGCGGCUCGACUUUGGCGCGGUGGCGUACGUGACACAGGAGAACGUUCUGCUGGGCACGCUGACCGUCCGGGAGACGGUCACCUACUCGGCGCAGCUGCGGCUGCCGUCGAGCAUGUCAAAGGCUGAGGUGCGCCGGGUGGUCGACGACACGCUGGACGAGAUGGGCCUCCGGGAGUGCGCUGAGCGGCCCAUCGGCACGUGGCACCUCCGGGGCAUCAGCGGCGGCGAGAAGAAGCGGCUGUGUAUCGCGCUGGAGAUCCUCACCCGGCCGCGCCUCCUCUUCCUCGACGAGCCCACCAGCGGCCUUGACAGCGCCUCCGCCUUCUCCGUCAUCGAGACGCUCCGCACACUCGCCAUCGAUGGCGGACGCACCAUUGUCUCGUCGGUGCACCAGCCCAGCAGCGAGGUGUUCGCACUCUUCGACGAUCUCUGCCUCCUCUCCAGCGGCGAGAGCGUCUACUUCGGGGACGCCAAGCUUGCACCACAGUUCUUUGCAGAAACCGGAUUCCCCUGCCCAAGCCGGAGGAACCCAUCCGACCACUUCCUCCGGUGCGUUAAUUCGGACUUCGACGAUGUCGCCACGGCCCUGAAAGGAUCCAUGAAGCUCCGAGCAGAGGCAGAUCUUGAUCCCCUGUUGAAGUACUCGACUACGGAGAUCAGAGAGCGGCUCGUGGAUAAGUACCGGAUCUCAGACUACGCCAUGAUGGUUAGGAACACGAUACACGAGAUAAGCAAAAUAGAGGGUGUGAUGGAGGAGGCAGUGAAGGGCAGCCAAGCGACCUGGUGCAAGCAGCUGCGCACGCUGACCAAGCGCUCCUACAUCAACAUGUACCGUGACUUCGGCUACUACAGGCUGCGCAUCAUCAUCUACGUCCUGAUGGCCAUCUGCCUCGGCACCAUCUACUACGACGUCGGCAACGGCUACACCGCGAUCCAGGCGCGCGCCUCGUGCGGCGGCUUCGUCUCCGGCUUCAUGACGUUCAUGUCCAUCGGCGGCUUCCCCUCCUUCAUCGAGGAGAUGAAGGUCUUCUCCCUCGAGCGGCAGAACGGCCACUACGGCGUCGCCGCCUACAUCAUCUCCAACUUCCUCUCGUCCAUGCCCUUCCUGUUGACCAUGUCCUGGGCCAGCGCCUCCAUCACAUACUGGAUGGUCAAGUUCCGGCCAGGAUUCAGCUACUUCGCCUUCUUCGCCCUCAACCUCUAUGGUGGCGUCUCCGUCAUCGAGAGCCUCAUGAUGAUCAUCUCCGCCCUUGUGCCCAACUUCCUCAUGGGGCUCAUCCUUGGCGCCGGCGUCAUUGGGAUCAUGAUGCUGACGUCUGGAUUCUUCCGGCUCCUUCCGGAACUUCCCAAGAUUUUCUGGAAAUACCCAGUGUCCUACAUUGUCUACGGCUCUUGGGGUUUGAAGGGUGCAUACAAGAACGACCUGCUCGGGCUGGAGUUCGAGCCGAUGACGCCGGGAGGCGAGAAGCUGACCGGCGAGUUCAUCAUCACCAACAUGAUGGGGCUGAGCGUCAGCUACUCCAAGUGGCUAGACCUAGCCAUGAUCUUCAUCCUCCUCCUCGCCUACCGCAUCACCUUCUUCUUUGUCCUCAAGGUCAAGGAGGCCGCCGCGCCCUACCUCCGCGUCGCCUACACGCGGUUCACCGUGAAGCGCCUUGAGCGGCGGGCGUCCUUCAGGGUGUCGCUGGCCAUGACGUCCUUGUCCAAGCGGCACAACGCGCCGCACCCCAUGGCCAUGCAGGAGGGGCUCAACUCCCCCAUGCAGCAGUACUGA
rnacentral:rRNA from 1 species